rnacentral:lncRNA from 1 species
CUGUGAAUGAAUUCUUAUGUUUAGUAAGUUUUUUAUUAUAUUUGACCUCUUUAAUUACUUAGCGUCUUUUUGUAAAAAAAAAUUAAAAAAUUACUUAGUGUCUUGAAGCGACAUAAACAACACAUUGAUGUACUUGAGAGGCAGUUAACAACGAUUCGUAUUUUAAGAAAUAUUUUUUGCAAAUGCCUAAACUAAAAAAUUAUAAUGUGAUAAAAUUAAAUUCUCUUUGCAGGGGAAAAUAAGUAAAAUUGUCAAAUUUGUUGUUACAAUGAAUGUACGUUGGCGGUAAUAAUUUGCAUAUAAAAUAUGAUGUUCAUACCAACUGAACUAAGUUCUUAUGGACACUUUGUACAAAAUAUUUUAUUCUCUUAUUCUUUACAUCGGGUAUUAAAUGCUUGCAAUAUUUUUUUUUCUUCGUCAAGUAGCCUAGUGACUAGAAAAUUCACCUUAAAAGUGAAUAAGUGAAGUGUCCGAGUUUGACCCCGACUCGUACACAUAUAUUGCUAUAUCUCUGUGAAGCUCACGGGUACAAUACUUACAAUAUUCUGAUUGUCCACAAAAUUGGUGUCUUCUUCCUUUUAAUCGAGGUGUAUUUAUAAUUGGUCUAUAGUAUGUGGUAAAAAAAUAAUGAAUUCUUAUGAUUGAUAUGUUUUUUUUA